rnacentral:rRNA from 1 species
AACGAACGCUGGCGGCAGGCUUAACACAUGCAAGUCGAGCGCCCCGCAAGGGGAGCGGCAGACGGGUGAGUAACGCGUGGGAAUCUACCCAUCUCUACGGAAUAACGCAUGGAAACGUGUGCUAAUACCGUAUACGUCCUGCGGGAGAAAGAUUCAUCGGAGAUGGAUGAGCCCGCGUUGGAUUAGCUAGUUGGUGGGGUAAAGGCCUACCAAGGCGACGAUCCAUAGCUGGUCUGAGAGGAUGAUCAGCCACACUGGGACUGAGACACGGCCCAGACUCCUACAGGAGGCAGCAGUGGGGAAUAUUGGACAAUGGGCGCAAGCCUGAUCCAGCCAUGCCGCGUGAGUGAUGAAGGCCCUAGGGUUGUAAAGCUCUUUCACCGGUGAAGAUAAUGACGGUAACCGGAGAAGAAGCCCCGGCUAACUUCGUGCCAGCAGCCGCCGUAAGAC